AAAUUAUUCUCGGUUUGAUAAAUACGGUAUAGUAUGGUUUAAUACGUGUUAUUUAGAAGAGAGAUUAUGGUAAUAGUUUAGCGCGUAUAAUGCACGGGUUUUUUGUGCAUGUUUUAGCGCGAAAGCGCACGAGUUUUUCGUUUUGGGGUAUAUAUGAUUUGCACAUCUAGUGAGACGCCAUUCGAGGGUUGUUUUUGACAGGCAAAGUUAUGGAGCAAGAAAACGAAAGGGUGAUAAAGUAGUUUAGGCGUUCAUUGCGAAAUACAUAGUAUUCGGAAGGAGAUUUUCGAUGAGAGGACUGAUUCUCUGCUAGAAGCGGAAUGGUGAGCUGGAACUUCGAACAAAGGUCAGACUUGUUGGUUCUGUUUAUUGUUAUAACACUGGCAACAACUUUCCGAUUGAAAUUAACACAGGUUGUGUUCCUUGUUAACUUUUAUGAUAAUUAUAUUCAAUAACAUGCUCUAUAUCUUUAUUUGUGCUGUUUUUGUUUAGUUCCAAUUAUUCAGAUACAUCAAUUGAUUUGAUUAUUGGGUAAAAAUGAAACUAUUUAAGUUCAAAAAGAGGUUGCAAAUGUAAUGGUCUGGUAGGAUUAUAUAUAGGUAAGGCCACAUAGUGUGUCACUCCAGGUUGUUUUGAUAGCAGAGUUAGAUCACUCUCCCUCAUGUUUUUACGAACACCUUGCUUUAUUUUUAUUGUUUAUAAGAUAUAACACCUUAUAUGGUAAUACAUGUGUUACAAGUUUGUGUAUUAGUUCCAAGCGUAUAAUUCAACAAACGAUUAAUAACAAUUAAAUGCCGUUUUCCUUAUAAUUCAGCUUGAUGGUUGUGUGCGAUAUAUGACGUGGUAUGAUAAUGAGCGGAUAAAAAUUUAUGCGAACAUAUCUUUAAACUAUUCAGGUAUUCCAAUUGUGAAUUAAGAAUGAAACAUCAAAAAUCGAUACAUUACGGAAAUAUAUAUUCUAUUCACCUAUGAAACAGCUAUAGAGACUUGUCUUGUAAACUUUUUUUGAAACAUGUUUGUGUUUUGCAUAUUUUACAUCUCGUUCGCUGGAUAUUUGGAAUAAACAGUUUAUAUGUUAUUGUUGUAUACAAUUUAAAAAAAAAUUCUCUAAAUUGAAUUAAAACAUUUUGAGUUAUUAUAUUUUUCAUAAUAAUUUAAGACGUUAAGUUUUCCCUGCAAGGUUGGUGUCAAUAAUGGUGCAUGCAUAUGUGCUAAUUAAUUUACGAUAUUUUGGAUAAACUGUGGUAUAAAUUUGGUUUGAAAAGAGCGUUGACAAUAAGACUGUUGUUUUAAACUUAAGUGAAAGGCAUUUAUCGGUUUUGUUAAAUUUAGUUUCGUCAUAGUUAAAUGCAUUUUUAAAGAGUAGGUACUGUAAUGAUAACAACAGUAGACCGGAUUUAUUUGCAAUAUAAGUCAUUUUGUUUUCGUGAUAGUUUUUGUUCUUGUUUGGUGGCCUGUUGGCUUGAUGUGUAAAGACAUUUUGCUUUUAUGGUGUUUGGCCGUUUUUUGAAUGCCAGUUAACAUGUGUAAUUUGCUUAUCGUUUUGGUGAAAGCCAGUUGACCAGAUGUGGUUAAACCCAGUUAGCGUGUGUAGUUUGUUAACCAAAUUUGUUAAAACGUGCGUUUACAUUUACAUUUUUGUUUUUAUUUAAUGUUAGGAUUGUACUGUUCGAAGGAUAUUAUAUAUUGGAGAACAUUAAAUGUAUGUUAUUAAGGGCCAGAUUGGCUUAUGUAAAUUAACCGGUUGGCUCGGGUUGUCCGUUGACAGUUUGUUGAAAGCAGAUUUUUUCAGAUGCGUAUAAGCCAGUUUGCUUGCGUGUCAGUUCACAAAAAUGUCUCAAAACACAUGUUGAAAUUGCAUUUACACAUGUUUGCGAAGUUUAUUUUUUCAGAAGCUGGACAGUUCGAAGAAUAAACAAUGAAUAGUGUAACAUUAUAGUAAGAGGGCAGCUCGAAAGGUAUAAUUUGUUUGUUUUUUUUGGUGUAAUUAUGUGUAAGAAAAUAACUUGUUAAGAUUGAUAAUGAUGAUUUUAUUGAUGAUGAUGUUAUAAAUGUUGAUGAUGAUGCUAACGUUAUUGAUGAGGAGGAGGAAUAGUUGACAUUAUUUUGUGAAUGGAUAAUACUACAUUAACGAAUUUUUUGUGAAUGAAAUUAUUUUAGGUUUGAUAAAUACCGAAUGAUGUUGGUCUAUACAUAUUAUUUAGAAGAGAAAGUGAGUAUGGUUAUGGUUAAGCACGUAAAAAUGAAUGAGUUUCUAGGUUUUGCGUUUAAUUGAACAAAAACAAGUAACGGUUCAGCAACAGGGAUUAUUCUCAGAUGGUACAUGUAUUCCUUUUAGAGUCACUGAAAUUCAACUUUGCAUCAAUACCGGUUUUCUUUGGGAUUUGUUUGAUGGGUUAAAAUUCCAAAAAUUGACGAGUUUUGCAGCCGACCAAGUACCUAUAGCUUUGUAUUUGAGUGUUUUAAGCAUUUUGUUGUUUUCAAAUUAGUAAAUCAAAAUUAAUACGGUGUUCUAGUAUAUCAAUUGAGCUUAUGCUAUUGCCAUGGAAAUUUGAGCCAGGGUUCGAUCAGUAGCUUAAAGUUUGUCUGUGUUGGUGAAUUGAACCUUAAAACAAAUGUCAAGUCGGUAGUUUUAAUUUUAAGAGCAGAACAUACGUAUUGAUUGUGAGAACAUUAGUAAAAUGUGUUUGGUAUUUGUGCAUGUCUCUUGUGGUCAUUGGACCAAGUUGUUUAAGGCCAAUUGGCCUGAUUUUGAAAGCCAGUUGGCUUGUAUGGUCAGUUGACCGUUUUUAAAGCCAGUCUAUAUGGUGUGUGAAAGCCUGUUGGCUUGUGUUGUCAGAUUACCGAACUUUCUUGGAACGAAAGUCUCAUAGAAUUUACAAUAUUUACCAAAUUAUUGUUUGCAAUGCAGUAACUGGACAGUUCGAAUAGUAUAUUAAGUAUUGAAGAACAUAAAGGUAUGGUUUAUGUAGUAUGUUAUUAUUAUUACUAGGAUUAUUAUGAUGUAUUUUAUUUGGGUGCAUUCGGAGAAUUGCAAAGCCGGUAGUUAAAAAGGAGCCUAUUACAUCAGAUAUAUUAAAGAAAUUUGAUCACACUUUUGUUUCUGAGAGCGAUUGUUCUUUGGGGUAUUUAAGAGGCGUUACAAUCUUUUUCUUAUUUUAUGCUGGUUUUUUAGGAUAAGUAAAAUUUAUUAAAUGAACAUCUUCAUGUAUCUAAUAGGACUUAAAUGUCGUAAAUUUCUAGUUAGUGUACGCUAUUUCGUAUCAAUUACUGAAGUUAUCUAUUAAAAAAUAAUAUCUGCAUUCUUUUUUAUUUCCUUAUCAUCUCAUCAAUGUAACAUUGCUGCUGAAUAAAUGUUGACUUGAAACAAGGGAAUGGACUUUUUUAUACACGUAUAUGUUCAGGGGAAAAUGCCUUCAAUAUGCCCUUAAAUAUUUCUCAUUAAGUUGAUGUUUAUCGGAUUCACGCAUUUCAUAACCUCAAGUAAUAAAACAAAUGUAUUUGAUGGUCGACAUAGAGAGUUCAUGAUUGAUUUAUAGCAAAAAAAGCACUCUAUCCUGUUAUAAAAAAAAUAUUAAAACGAAAUUAAUCUUGAGUAGUUCAGUUAGGUCAAAUUGCUUGAAAGUCGUAACACAUUUGUGACCAUCAACAAGUCAUAAAAUGUAAUUGACUACAAACUUCAAAGAACUGUGGAAGAAAAAAGGUCAUAAUCUGAUCUGUAGACCACAACAGAACACCACCUGUAUAAUCCAUUUAUGCCUAAUGGACUCCCCCAUCCUUCUAAAUUGGAUCAAUUUAUUUCCAAAAUUAGGGAUGUCUAGUAUAUUAAUUUCUAUAAUUAAGCAUAUUUCUUACAAAAAUUCCUUUAAGCAAACAGCGCAGACCCUGAUGAGACGCCGCCUUAUGCGGCGUCUCAUCUGGGUCUACGCUGUUUGCCAAGGCCUUUUUUCUAGACGCUAGUCAUAAAUGGGUUAAACCCGGGCUCUUCAGGUUUCAAAGCAGAGUUACAACUGCAUGGCUUUUAAAGCAAGGCAGUACAAGCGCUCAUUAUAUCUCACCUUACUACGAACGCACCCUUUUACUAAAAAUAAUCUUCUGCAAAUAAACUUUGGCAAUGGCAUCUGUGUGAGGUUGAACAGACAAAUAACUAUACGAUGUUGUCCGGUAAUCUUGCGCAGUUAAGGGUCAAUUGGUUAAAAACAUGUUCUUUUGAAAAUUGACAGCUGAAUAUCUAAAUUUAUUACGAAAAUAAUAAGUUCAUGUGCUUAUUAACACAAAAAUAUCUGAUUAAUUCAGUGAAGAAUUGUCUCAUUUGAUUUCAAAACAAACAUGACUCACCUCAUUUUCAAACUGUCACAGUGUCCGGUAAUCUUGCGCACUUAAUUUAAUGACCUCAUUUAGGAAAAAUUGUAGACAUACGGUGUCCAAAGAGGGACAAUAAACAUUCCAGAUAUUAUUAAAAAAAUCAGUUUGUAAAACCAUUCAAACUUAAUUUGGAUUUCAAGUGCAGUUUUUUUCAAUACAAAUCAAGAAAUAAUAUAGUUACUAGUAAUAGUGUCCAAUUAUAAAAAAAUAAAAAUAAAAAUAUAAAAUGAUUGAUUUCUAGCAUUGAAAAAAUAGUUUAAACAGGUUUAAUUUGAUGCCAAUCAUGCUUACAUAGUUUACAGAAAAUAUCAAAACUAGGCCAUGGCGCAUGCGGAGAUCAUACCAAAUGUGGUUUGACAGAUUGGCGGGAAAUGAUGACAAUGCCAUCUGAUGCAAUUGAUUUUCAAUGGCCCAAAAUACCAUAACUGAUUGGAUAUUGUCCAAUGUUAUGCUAAACUACACGUUGGAUUUAUGAAUUCUUAAUUGUAUGUAUGAAAACGCUUAAGACUACAAGAAAUUUGUGAGUCAUUUCGAAUUUAUCGUAAGUAGGUCAGUGCUUACGAUACGUGUACAAUGUAUAGGGAUGACGCAACCGGUGUUAAAAUGUCAUCAUUUAAAGACACUAUAAUAUAUUAUUAUAUAAAUGGUUUGGAAAUGCUUUUGAGUAUUAUUAAGUGCUGUGUUUGUGUUGUGUGUAUGUUUCCUUGUGGUCAUUGGACCAAUUUGUUUACGGCCAUUUGGCCUGAUUUGGUAAGCCAGUUUGCCUGUAUGGUCAGUUGACCGUUUUUAAAGCAAGUUGAUCUGAUGUGUGAAAGCCGGUUUGCUUGUGUGGGUUGAACUUAUUUUCUUAAAAAGCAUGUUCACAUGGAAUUAACAAUCUUUGCAAGUUUAUUUUUUGCAGUGCAGUAACUGGACAGUACGAAUGGUAUAUUAAGUAUUGGAGAACAUAAAGGUAUGGUUUAUGUAGUAUGUUAUUAUUAUUAUAAGGAUUAUGAUUAUGAUAUUUUUUAUUUCCGUUUUAAUGUUUAUCAUUAAUUUUGUAAAUAUUGUUUUAUAAUAUCUGUGUAAUUCUCUUGUGCAUUAUUCGAUUGGUCAUUUGACCGUUUGUGAAGGCCAGAGUGUGCCUGAUGUUGAUUAGCCGUUUGGCUUGUGUGGUCAUUUGACCGUUUGUGAAGGCCAGAGUGUGCCUGAUGUUGAUUAGCCGUUUGGCUUGUGUGGUCAUUUGACCGUUUGUGAAGGCCAGAGUGUGCCUGAUGUUGAUAAGCCAGUUGGCUUGUGUGGUCAGUUGACCGUUGUUGAAGGCCAUAGUGUGCCUAUUUUGAUUGAAUUAAUUUUAUUGCUUUUACAAAUGUUUAUAAUUGUAUCUUUUCAGUUAAAACACAGUUCGAGAGGUAUAUAACGUGGUGGAGAAUAUUUAGUUCGGUUUUUAGUCCAUGUGAGAUGGGAUCUUAACACAAACCGAUUCCUUUACUGGGAAAGACGAUGGGUGUAUUUUCAUUUAAGUCUGAAGCAGCUAAGUUUUCUUGAUUAUUUUGACUCAUUUUUACUUAAUAUUGUGUUUGAAUGAGGUUUUUUAAGUUAUGGGUGUCAUGUUUUUCGAGACUCUCACUUCCUGGAGAUAGUACCUCCAGCAUAUUUAUUGAAAUAUUGGUAUGUUUAAAUUUCAGUGUUAUUAUUUUUUGUUGUCUUUCGUUAUGAACGUUUAAUUCAAAGACAUUCUUAUUGUACGAUUACUUAAUAUUUUCAUUUUGGUGUGACUGGUUAGAUGUUGAAGUCGUUUUAAUAUAGCUGUUCGUCAUAUGCAUUUAUGUAUUUCUCGGAAUACUUAUGAUUUAUCAAUAUUCUUUUUAUGUGCUUUAUGGAUUUUAUGGUUUGAGUGAUUUGUUUGUUUUUAUGUUGAUGUCCGGGGUGUGUGCGGGAUGCUUUUGAUGUUUGUUUGUUAUGUUAAUUUGCGCAAUGAAAUUGAUAAUGUUUUAAUUACAUUUUUUACUAAAUAAUACUUAAUGUUUACAGUAUAAUAAUAGCUGCUUAUUUGUAGAUUUCUCUAAAAUUAGAGGUUUCGGGAGGUGAUGAAGGCACCUAGACACCGGUCUCGAGCCAUGGGUCCUCAUACGUCCCCCUGCCAUUAAAAGAAAAAAAUAAGAAAACAAAAAUGGAAGUAGGGUUGCGUAUCCCGCUCGCGGUUUUACCUGAAUCGGUUAUUACUACUGAUUAUUGUAUGGGGUGUACGUGAAGUCAUGUACACUUCUCUUGAUUGGUGGUGAUGGAUGAAUCUUGCAGAUAUUAGCAGUUUCUUUGAACAAAUUAAUGUUUCACAAUUGUUAAUUUAUAAUAUUUAAGCAAGUUAGCGUGAUUGAUGGGCAUUGUGGGCGUCCUGUGUGCACUUUUGGCAUCGGCCGGGAUCAGUUUAUUUAAACAGUAACUCUUUAUUUGAGAUAUAUACAUGACGUCUAAUUGUUAUGAAUAAAUUUGCAUUUUUUCACAUGACACACAUGUGCACGUGAAGAAUUCAUAAUUACAUGUCCUUCAGCAUUUAAAUAGUAUCGUUUCAGUUCUUUAUACACCUGAACAAAGAUGUUACACUGUUUCCAGUCGUCUCGAGGCUAAUCAAUUGAGCGGUGCCGUUGAGGUCUAUAUCCAUUGCACAUAUAACACAUACGGGCGUCAGAAGAAUUGUUUUUUGCAUUUAUAUGUUGAAAGUCCUGUCAAAUACAAGCACUCACUCCUA